rnacentral:rRNA from 1 species
UACGUAGGGAGCUAGCGUUGUUCGGAAUUACUGGGCGUAAAGCGCGCGUAGGCGGCUUUGUAAGUUAGAGGUGAAAGCCCGGAGCUCAACUCCGGAACUGCCUUUAAAACUGCAUCGCUUGAAUCCAGGAGAGGUGAGUGGAAUUCCGGGUGUAGCGGUGGAAUGCGUAGAGAUCCGGAAGAACACCGGAGGCGAAGGCGGCUUGCUGGGCGUGAUCUGACGCUGAGGCGCGAAAGCGUGGGGAGCGAACAGG